rnacentral:lncRNA from 1 species
AUGGGAUCCUGUGAACCCAACCAAUGGAUGGGCUGGAUUCUCUUAAUGUUUAUGUUCUUUCAGGUUCUAAGCUUGGGAUCUGGAAUCGUGCUUAUAGUUUUCUGGAUUCUAGCACUUUUUUGCACUGGAGAAUUUCCUAAAGAACAUUAUUCUGGGAGGACAGAUGGCAAAUGUGUGUCGGUGUCAGGUUUAUCAGAGUUUGGAAGUUGGAUGAAGAGGCAGAGAACAGGGCCAUUACGUGACCCAGCCUAUGCCCCUUGUGCCAGAGAUGGAAUGAGAAUAAACAGAAUUGAGGUGGCCCCCACUCCUACGGACACAGCUCUUUCACCUAUACGGUUUUCUUCUGUAUUUCCUGAUAUAAGUCUCCCCCUGACCCCACUGGAAUGCAUGGAUUUGCAUUUGUUCUUCCAGGAGUGUCUAACUGGAUGUCCUCUGCAAAUUCAUCAAAUGUGCCAUCUUUUCCAUCAUGUGGUCAUCCCUGGGAUCAUCAUCGAACAUCGUUCUCCACCACUCUGGUCCAUGGAUGGUUGUUCUCUUUUGUCCAUUCCAUCAAAUGUCCUGAACACUGUCAGAAGAGGGAAAAGGCUAAUGGAGCUGUUAAGUCUAAGUAUGACUGCCAAGAUGAAUCCAAAAAAGCCAAAGAGCCUGAGCAUGUCAGACCUUCCUGCAGCCUGCCACACACACUUAAAACCCCAGGGAAAUGAGUGCGGCUCAGGAGGGGGGAAGAGCGCCAACCAGUCAGAUUGCUCAAUCCCAAGACAAAGAACUCGUGGAUCAUGGGCUAGAAAAAAGGGUUAA